AUGUCAGCCACCUACACAAGAAAGAGGGGACAAGGUCUUUGUGCCCUGCCUGUGCUGACCCACUCACCAUCUGCAUCUGCCUCCCUGGGAGCCUCAGCCACACUCACCUGCACCCUGAGCAGUGAGCACAGCAACUACUUCAUUUACUGGUAUAAGCAGAGGCCAGGAAACAGCCCCCAGUAUGUAAUGAAGGUGAACAGUGAUGGCAGCCACAGCAAGGGGACUGGGAUCUCUGAUGGCUUCACAGGCUCCAGUUCUGGGGCUAAUCAUUACUUAACAAUUGCCAACAUCCAGCCUGACGAUGAAGCUGAUUAUUACUGUGGAAAAAAACAUAAAAUUGAUGGCCACAGCGGGUAA